rnacentral:misc_RNA from 1 species
GAUGAAGAACGUAGCGAAAUGCGAUAAGUAAUGUGAAUUGCAGAAUCCAGUGAAUCAUCGAAUCUUUGAACGCACAUUGCGCCCGCCAGCAUUCUGGCGGGCAUGCCUGUUCGAGCGUCAUUUCAACCCUCGACCUCCCCUUGGGGAGGUCGGCGUUGGGGACCGGCAGCACACCGCCGGCCCUGAAAUGGAGUGGCGGCCCGUCCGCGGCGACCUCUGCGUAGUAAUACAGCUCGCACCGGAACCCCGACGCGGCCACGCCGUAAAACACCCAACUUCUGAAGUUGACCUCGAAUCAGGUAGGAAUACCCGCUGAACUUAAGCAUAUCAAUAAGCGGAGGA